UUUUUUUUGUUCUUGUUUAUUUUUAACAUUUACGUCUACAAAUUAUCUGAUCUAUCAUCGAUGUUACCGUGCAAGCAACUCGAGAACCUGAUGUUCAAAGAAAACUAGAAAUUAAGGUAUUUAAAAUAAAACUAGGCACAAAUUUCUCUCAGAUUCACUUUUUUUAAAAAUCUAGCGGUUUAUGUAUACGGGAGUAUUUAGCUUCGAAUGUAUAUCGGAGUGGUACUCAGUAGAUACAUUUGGCAGCGAUAAGUUAAUUCUUUAAACUUUUUUUCAUUCUCCUAAUAUCAAAUAAUAUUUUUAUUUUUUAUUUUUUUUCUUUCUUUUUCUUAUUUGUUUAUGAACAAAGUUUCCUUUAAAUGCGAUACUGGCGAGAAAUGUUGCUUUUUAUGAACAAGUGUAUGAUUCAUUCAAUCAUUGAUCCUUCGUGCCAUACAUUUUUUAUUGACAUAUCUGGCAGUUCAAUAGAAAUAAAUGUUUCUAGCGUUCUUGGAUAUUCUGCCUUUUGAUUGCUUCCUUCGUCAAAUCCAAUUCAAAUUUAUUUAAGUUGGUGCACUACAUAUUUACAAGUUGGAUGUAACCAGCAUUCACAACAUCGUUGGUGCGUGCAAAUCUAAAAUCGAUUUAACUUUUAACAAUUGAGAACUCUAUAUUCUGUCAAAGAUAGCUAGUCCCUUGUCCCUGUCUGUUUUUUGACUAAAUUUAAGCAUCCAUCAUAACAUGCUUAAACGGACGUUCCAAAUAAUUUUUCCAAGCGUUUUACCAAUUUCAUGAGAGGCAACUUAACAUCAUUGUGAUCUCGGCAGUUUGCGAUUUCUCUUAAUAACGAUAUGAAGGGGAUUUUAUGAAAAUUUUCUUCCUACCACUGAAAACUAUCGGAUUUUCGUCACAGUCUUAGCCCCCGGAUUUUUGCACCUGUGGGGCUUGCCAAUUUGUAUGCUUUUGUAUGGCUAAAUGUAGAAUAGCGUAUUGUCCAAAUCUGCUAAAUGAAUUAGUGAUGCACGGAAGGAAUCGUUUUACAAAGAUUUAUGAGAUUUUUAGGAAAUUCGAGGUAAGAAGUGUAAAGCGGUAAAAAUCGCUGGGAAAUGUAAAAGAAAUUGCUUGUGUAUGAAUACUUGAUGCCUUCUACCUUCUUUUAGCCCACUCGGUUUAUCUACAUAUGCAAAGUGUGCCUUCUUGGGGAACAGUAUUUUUUAUAACGGUACAACGAUGCAUCAAUUUUAAAACGCCGAAUACGAAUUGUAUGUAAAUAGAAGAAAAAGAAAAGUCCGAAAAACAUCAUAUGUUUGAAGUAUGCUAUUGCUGUGCCGAUAAAAUGAAGUAGUUUGAUUGCCCGUGAUUAAUAGAGAUGAAUUGCUAGUAUGAUAGGUAUUAUUAGUGUACCUGAUUGAGCUGUCGCAUUUGAAAACACUUUCUGCUUUUACUUUUGCUAA